AUGAAGUUUCCUGUUAUGCUGUUGGUGCUGCUGGUGUUCAGGAUUCCUGCUUCCAGAUGUGAUAUUAUGAUGACCGAAAGUCCACUGUCCCUGCAUGUCAGCCUUGGUGAUCAAGUUUCUAUCUCUUGCAAGUCUAGCCAGAGUGUCCUCUAUAGUAAUGGAAAAACUUAUUUGAAAUGGUACCUGCAGAGGCCAGGCCAGUCUCCACAGCUCCUCAUCUAUGAGAUUUCCAACCGAUUUUCUGGGGUCCCAGACAGGUUCAGUGGCAGUGGGUCAGACACAGAUUUCACACUCAAGAUCAGCAGAGUUGAGCCUGAAGAUUUGGGAGUUUAUUUUUGUCUCCAAGCUUCUUAUUUUCCUCACACAGUGUUAUCUGCUUAA